UGGUGCUUGGCACUGCACCCCCUGAUGCCAUGGAAGGCGCACAGUCUGUGCCCCAGCAGGAUUUAUUCAGUGAGCAAGUCUGGAAAGGGCUGCUCCAGAAGGAGGGUGAAGGCUGGGCUGCACAGAGCCUGCACCUUCUUUGUAUUUUUACAUUGGGCUUCUCUGACUGCCCCUAAAAUAAAAAUGGGGAUAAUCCAUUUUCCUGUGAGAGAAAUGAAAACCCACGAAGACUAAAUGUCCUGCCCGCUGUCCAGGUGCAGUGAGGGGCGUGGCCGGGACCAGAAUCCCUGCUUCCCUGUUCUCUAGUCAGUGCUGCUGCUGGAAACCAGAGUCUUCUUUUGUUUUCCCUCUCACCUCUGGCUGCCUCUCUCUCCCCUCAAAGGUCAGAGCAGUGCCAAGGACAGAAGAGAGAGUAGAUCCAGCCUUGGCCCUGCUAGGCUGGGCAGCCUGGCAGGUAGAGUCAGCAGGGAUAGAGCUUGCUUUCCUGUUCACGAUCUUCAGCCAAGUUCAGGGAGGUCUGAAUACUGAGGCCUUCAUAGCCACUGCACCCCAGGUAGCUCAGGAGAACCUCCGAGCGCAGGAGUGCAAAGGCUGGCAUUCUUCAGGCUCUGAGGCUGUCCCUUCCGGUGGAGGUGAACUGCUUCUUAUUGAUGUGGACAAGACUGUGGACACAGCAAACAGCAGUGCUGCGGAGGUAUGUCUAAUUGCAGAUACUUUUUGUUCAUCAUCGUAUUGAACGUCGUUGCGUGUUCCAGCAGCCAUCAACUUCCUCAGGAGGAAAAUUCAAUUGUGCACUGAGCGACAGCGUGAAGAGACCGGGCCAAGCAGGCAGGGUGCUGCAGGUCAACAAGGUGCUGCUGUGCUCCUGAAGCCUUCAGGAGCCUCAGCCUGAGAGCUCAGGAAAGGGUGGGGCUCCAACCCACCUGGCUUUCCGCCUUACUGAGCUCCAAACACAGGCUUGUUCCACAUCACGGAGAGCCCUUAUCCUGCAUGUGCGUCUCGCUCCCUGACAAGCCUAUUUGUGCCUUGUCACCAGAAAUGUACCUUUUUUCUUCUCUCAUCUGUCCCUGACACCCCCAGCUUAUCUAGCCUGAAGAGAGGCUAUCAAAAUGGUAAUAGCCAGAUGGAAAACAAGGAAAAAUAAGCCCUUUCCCAUAAGGAAGCAAUACGGAUUUUGGAACCGGAGAAAUUUCUACUAUUCUCCCAACAUCAUUCCCUCCGCCUUGGGUGUGCUUCCGAGAGGGUUGGAGGUGUCACCUGCCGUACCCUAGGACUGGCUGAGGGAAAACACACCUGAAGAUUUCCUGUAAAUGAAAAAGUGAAUCACUAAAAGGGGGAGCUGUCAUCCCCUGGCAUUUCUCUGUGCACAGGCGACCUAGUGUUGGGAUGGCAGCAGAACCCAGACAACUGAGCCAACACGUGGAGGGAAGCCCUCACUAGCCUGCAUUCGACUUGUGUGAGAGAGAAGUGAACGUUUACGUGCAAAGCCACUGAGCUUUUGUUGUUGUUCCUGCAGCACAGGGCAUUCUAACCUGCCUAAUACUGAAACGAGUACUGUUAGGCUUGAUCUGUGAAGAGGAGAACAUAAAAGGCCUGCAUAUUCUCUUUUAGGUCCUAAAAAUGCAGUGCUCUCUUCUUGGCCUUGCUGUGACCAGGCUGUUUAAAAUCUGUCACCCCGCCAGUCGCCACUGUAUUAUCUUGCUUUAUUUUUCUUCAUAGUAUUUAUUGAUAAUUUAUGUGCUUAUUAUGUCUCCCUGACUGGAAUGUAAGUUUCAUGAAGGCCAGGACUUGUGCCUUAAAACAGGGCCUGGCACAGAGUAGGCACUUAAUGUGUAUUUUUGAAAGUGAAUUGUGGGCUGAAAAUUCUGAUUUUUCAAAAAAGUUAAUAAAGGUGAAGGCCUUCCUUGCCUUUAUUAAAUGCUUAAAAUGGAUCAGUGGUGGGGUAGAGAUGGAAGGAGUCACACACAUACUGUACCUUCAACGGGUUUCAAUCUAACUGGGAGACAAAAUAUAGAAACAUGAAACAAGCAGAGAGCAAAUCUCUAGGUACCUAAGAGUUAAUUAAGUACUAAGGGUGUACUUAAAUUUGUGAGGGAGGAAGGGGAAGAGGACUGUCCAGAGGUAUGGCUAACUACCAAAAACUCUCUGGAGCAGACAGCUUUGGCAGCAGACUGAGAGCAGGGUUCUCCAAUUUGAGCUUGCAGAAGAAUCACCUGGAAGGCUUCUAAAACCUAUACUAUUGGCCCCACCCCCAGAGUUUCUGAUUCACUAGAUCUGGAUUAUACCUGGGGAUCUUUUUUUUUUUAGACAGAGUCUUGCUCUGUUACCCAGGCUGGAGUGCAGUGGCACUAUCAUAGCUCACUGCAACCUCGAACUCCCCGGUUCAAGGGAUCCUCCCACCUCAGCCUCCCCAGUAACUGGGAUUUCAGGCAUGUGCCACCAAGCCCGGCUAAUUUUUUUUUUUUUUUUUUUGAGAUGGAGUUUCAUUCUUGUUGCCCAGGCUGGAGUGCAAUGGUGCAAUCUCAGCUCACUGCAAUCUCUGCCUCCUGGGUUCAAGUGAUUCUCCAGCCUUGCCUCCUGAGUAGCUAGGAUUACAGGCAUGUGCCACCACGCCCAGCUAAUUUUGUAUUUUUAGUAGAGAUGGGGUCUCACCGUGUUGGCCAGGCUGGUCUUGCACUCCUGACCUCAGGUGAUCCACCCACCUCAGCCUCCCAAAGUGCUGGGAUUACAGGUGCCCACUGCCGUGCCCAGCUUAAUUUCAGUAUUUUUAGUAGAGAUAGGGUUUCUCUAUGUUGGCCAGGCUAGUCUCAAACUCCUGACCUCAGGCGAUCCACCCACCUUGGCCUCCCAAAGUGCUGGGAUUACAGGCCUGAGCCACCACACCUGGCCUCACCUGUAUUUUAAAUUGAGUUUUACUGGGUAACAGCCAUGGUCAUUCAUUUACAUAUUGUCAAAGGCUGCUUUCAAGCUACAACAGCAGAAUUUAACAGUCUCAAGACCAUAUGGCCUGCAAAGCCUAAAAUAUUUACUGGCCCUUUACAGAUAAAGUUUGCUGACCCCUAGAGAGGAAGUCAUGGCCCAUGGCUGGCAGAUGGAAGCCUCAGGACCUGAAGAUUUCUCAAAGAAAGGGACCUGCUGCUGACAGCAAUUAAUAUAUGUUCACAGCUUGCAGCUGAAGCCUGAUGAUGGCUGUAGGAGAAAGGACAUCACCCAGAUGACAUUUUGCCUCCAAAGCUCUGGGGACCAAUUGUGGAAGAACUGCAGGGAUAUUAUGUUAGAAUGUUCUUGUGUCUGGAUAGGAUGAGAACUGUCUUAUAACAAAGUGCAGCCCCCAUGUCUGAGGGCAUGUUUCCUGUGUUUAGGCACUUCCGAAGCAGGGAGCACCUUCAAGGGGCACUGGCCUUCCCAGAAACAGUGUUUGACCUGUGAUGAUGUCCUGGGGGAGGGGACCUAGGAAAAGACCUUAGCCUUUCCAUAAGGCACGAUUAUUCUCCUCUAUAGAGCCUCAAAAGUCAAGUCAAGUAGCAAGCACACUGUGCUCCAGUCUGUGGCCACAGACACACACAAGGACUGGAGCAAAACCAAACAUAGUGUAUCAUCACCGCUGAACCCCCAGGAGCCCCCAGAUGCUUUUGAACGUGAAAGGAGAAAGAAGCUGUCAGAGAUCAGGUUGAAUGUGGUGGGUUAGGUGUGCGGCAUUGCCUCUGGGUCCCUGCUUUGGUUUAAUUAAACUAAGUCUGGUGGUGAAUUGGUUCCCAAAUGUUCAUUGGUGGAUGGGCGGCAUCAGAAUUGUCUACAUCUUUUAAAAAACACGUACGCAAAACCUAUGCAUGUCUUCCUCUGAGAGUUUGAUUUUCAGCAGGCUUGGGGUGGAUUCCUACUUUUAAGAACUCCCCACGCCCGUCCUAAGUGAUUGUGAUUCCCAGUAAGUGAAUGCUGACAAAUUGAACCUUCCAGCAUGGACAUUUAUUUAUGAAAUAAAUGGACAUUAAUUUCACAGUCUUUCUAUGGAUUCGAGGUGGUGCUGGAUCCACAGGCUCACCUGGCCCCCUAGCUUUCUCUGCAGAAUCUGCCAGUGUGCCUUCAAUCCCAAAAGAAGUCGCUUUUCAUGUGCUGCUGGAGCUUUUGAUUGGCGGUGACUGAGAUGGGACUUUAAGUUCUCACCAGGAUGCAAAGUGGGGUUCCAACUUUACUGCUUUCUGAACCCUGCUGAUCUGUCCCCAACCAAGGCUUGAUUUUCUUCUGAAGCGCAGUAUUUUUAAACUGUGGUUGAAAUCUAUUCAUGGGCUAUAAAAUCAGUUGUUGAGGAUGUAACCAUUUUGAAUUAAUUUUUAAUUCAAAAAAUUAGACUAGAAAUUUUUAAUUUUAAUUCAAAAAAUAGACUAGAAAAAAAUCAGAGUGCAUCAUGUAUGGUAGGGAUAAGUGUAAUUCUUUCUGUAAAACUUGUUUUGGAGGGUAUGUUGUGCAUUGGGCUUCUGUGUAUUUCUUACUACGUUUCACAGGGAAACUGCUGUCAUCUCUGCAGUACAAUAUAGAUCAACAAUGGCCCUAACUUCCCUAAGACAGCUCUCAUGUCUGCUUGCAGAGAACAGAUGGAAAAAGUCACCAGGGAGGGUAGAUUGCCAUAUACAAGUACUUCAGGGAGGCUACCUGGAAACUAAUAGAAAACCAGUUUAUGGAUGAUUGCAGAGCCUGGGGAGAGAAAUCAAUCUUGGACAGUUUUAUGGAUGGCAGCGUGGGCUCCCGGGCCCCAAGCAGGAUCCCUUAGGGCUGAUCUCUUACCACACACUGGUCUGACUUGGUGACCUGGAAGAGGACAGUCAGAGCCAACAGGAUGAGGGGACCAGCUUGGAGAGCAUCUAUUGUAUGCCACCCUUGAGUGGCUGGAAAUGUCUUCUGCCACUUUGCAAGGGGCUGGGGGCUGGGGAGUGGGAGUGGCAAGGGAACACGGGGUGGUAGAUUGUUCCCAGGGCUGCUGGUUUUGGAGCAGUCUGACUACCCUCUCUUCUUAGUGGGAAAGAAAGGAGGAAGAAGGGGGAAGGGAUGCUUUUGGAGGGGAGCUCUAAGGGUGGGAGAAAAGAAAGCCUGAAAGAACAUCACUAAAGGGUCUGAAGUUAAAGACUCCAAUGAACAAGAAGCCCCUAAUUCAAACAGUGCCACUAACACCAAAACCUGUAAAGUGGUCCAGAGAGACCCUGGUCAUGUCUGUAACUUUCCUUUUUAAAGCUCUCGUGAAGUUAAUGAAUGAAAAAAUUGCUAAUGCAAAGAUGGAAAUUAAUAAAAACAAAAGCGUGCUUCAUAUUGCAGGGUGACCACCUCUAAUCCUACCAGUGAUCCUGUGGCUGUCCCUGUAACUUCCUUUGGCAACACCAUGCUUUGAGAAGCUGUGGGGAAGGCUGGCCAGGGAGAGAGCCUCACCCCCCAAUUCUGCCAGCUGAUCCCCCAGAGGGCUGCAAGGCUCCUGAUUUACCCAGACCUCUGGAGUGGCUGAGGCUGGGCUCUGGGGUUGGAUGGUUCUCACCAAGAGGCCUGGGACAUCUGCUCUGUGCUAAGCUCCGAGGCAGACCACAGAGGAGAUAAUGACUAAUCGGACCUUCACAUACAUUGUACAUGCCUUUUCUGAACUGAAAAAGAGAAGAACAAACAAGAUAAAAAUAUUGAAAAAAAAGAAGAAUCAAAUGUGUAGAAAAUGCAAGGUCAUUAGAACUGCCCAGGGCUUCAUUCAGGCAAAGAUCUUGAGGGUCUGGCCAGGGACCUGCUGAGUAAAUCUAGCUCUGGUUCCCCUCCCACAGAUUCCCUGCGCCUCCUCCAACUGCAUAACCAAAUCUCCCCACCUCCCAACUUUCCUUGAGCUAUUCUGCUGUUUUCUUCACUUUAGUUUUCUCACUGUAACCC
rnacentral:lncRNA from 10 species